CAGCCGCCGCGGUAAAACGGAGGAUCCAAGCGUUAUCCGGAAUCAUUGGGUUUAAAGGGUCCGUAGGCGGUCUUGUAAGUCAGUGGUGAAAGCCCAUCGCUCAACGGUGGAACGGCCAUUGAUACUGCAGGACUUGAAUUAUUGGGAAGUAACUAGAAUAUGUAGUGUAGCGGUGAAAUGCUUAGAGAUUACAUGGAAUACCAAUUGCGAAGGCAGGUUACUACCAAUUGAUUGACGCUGAUGGACGAAAGCGUGGGUAGCGAACAGGAUUAGAUACCCGUGUAGUCCCUGUCUCUUAUAC
rnacentral:rRNA from 1 species